AUGAGCUUUCUUUUUGGGGGGGCAAAGUCUUCGUCUUUUUGCCUUACUUUUUGGAAACUCAUGCUUCUGCACUUGCGAUUGCAAAAGCUUUUUGAAUUUUUGAACAUCUUUGGAUCAUAUGAGUUGGGGUCUUUCUGCUUCUCUUUUUGAAUUGCAAGCAAAGUCGGCCGUAUAAUUUAAUGCGCUUUCUCUGUCCUUGUUCUCUUAAAAUUUCUUCUUUUCAUCAUUUUGGCCUCUUUACAUUUGUUUGAAUCUAGUUCGUGGAAAUAAACAAGUAAAUAAAGAUCGGUAGUACCGUCAGUGAAAAUGCCUUAUCUUUUCUGCACCAUUGACUGGGGCUCGGAGCUUCGUCCUUUCUAAGAUUCUUGUUUCUUACGCUGCUGAUCUUUAAGGUCUGGAUCUGAUCACACGUAAAAUCGGACCUGAAAAUCGAUUCAAUUUCAAAUGGAGGGUGACACAUUCUCAGGGCUUGGCAAUGGGGCGCAGAUUGAUGGCAGGGUGUUGCAGACAUUCCAGACGAGCUUUGUGCAGGUCCAGAACAUAUUGGACCAGAACAGGCUUCUCAUCAAUGAGAUAAACCAGAAUCAUGAGUCCAAGAUCCCGGACAACCUGAGCCGCAACGUCGGCCUCAUCCGAGAGCUCAACAACAACAUCAAACGGGUCGUCGACCUCUACGCUGAUCUCUCCGGUAACUUCUCCAAGAUCAUGGAUGCUUCCUCUGAGGACAAUUCCUCUGGUAGCAGGACAGGGCACAAGAGAAUUAGGCCUGCAUAGGGGAAAAAAAAUGAAAUUUUUGUAAUCAUUUCUCAGGUAGAGUUUGUGGAGAAUGUGAUUUUCUUC